rnacentral:pre_miRNA from 1 species
AAUGUACUCCCUCCGUUUCAAAUUACUCGUUGCAGAAAUGGAUGUAUCUAGAACUAAAAUGCAUCUAGAUACAUCCAUACCUGCGACAAGUAAUUUAAAACGGAGGGAGUAGCUC